AUAUGAAGAGCUGAAAAUCCAAUGGGGGCAUGUGCCCCCCCCUGCCCUUGCUCUGGAUGCGCCUAUGGUCGGACCUCCUUUUCUAACAGAUUAAGUUGAUAGCAGUACGUAAAAUUAAUGUUACGUUUGGAUUGAAUUUAAGUAAUUUAAUGGAGAGUGAAAUGAUUUAUUUUAUUUUGGUUAAAAUAAGUUAUUUCAUACUCUCUCUUUUUAAAAGAAUAAAAUUCAUAAAUUUGAGAAGAAUAAAAAUGGUUCAAUUCAUCCCAAUCGCAACCAAUCAUAAUUUUUUUCAUUUCAUAAGAAUGAGUCAUUACAUUCUCACCUUUAUUACUCCAAUCCAAACGUAGCAUAAGUGUUACUAGCAGUUUGUUCUUAUUUUUUUUUCUUUUCUUUUUUUAAUAUAUAUCAAAAAAAGGCCACUCAAACACAUGCCAUGCAUCACGAUUUUCAAGCCGGGGCAGAUUUAAUAAGGGGCAACAUAUAUAUAGAUGUAGAUAUAAGAGUAGUCGAGUAGGAGCAAAUAUGUAAGUGAAUAAAUUUAAAAUGACAGAUUAAUGGAAGAGUUAAACUUAAAGGAAGUAAC
rnacentral:lncRNA from 1 species